rnacentral:rRNA from 1 species
UACGUAGGUGGCUAGCGUUGCCCGGAUUUACUGGGCGUAAAGAGCGCGCAGGCGGUCGUUCAAGUCGAGUGUGAAAGCCCCCGGCUCAACUGGGGAGGGUCACUCGAUACUGAUCGACUCGAAGGCAGAAGAGGGAAGCGGAAUUCCCGGUGUAGUGGUGAAAUGCGUAGAUAUCGGGAGGAACACCAGUGGCGAAGGCGACUACCUGGCCUGUUUCUUGACGCUGAGGCGCGAAAGCUAGGGGAGCAAACGGG